rnacentral:misc_RNA from 1 species
AAGUCGUAACAAGGUCUCCGUAGGUGAACCUGCGGAAGGAUCAUUAAUGAGUUAGGGUCUUCCAGGCCCGAUCUCCAACCCUUUGUAUAACUACCAUGUUGCUUUGGCGGGCCCGUCUUUCACCGGACCGUCGGGGGUCUUUUUGACCUCUGGCCAGUGCUCGUCAGUAGCCCUUAACAAACUCUUUUUAACCAUGUUAAAUCUGAAAAAUAGCUAAAUAAACUAAAACUUUCAACAACGGAUCUCUUGGUUCUG